UACUCAAUGGCACACACACACACACA
rnacentral:piRNA from 1 species